rnacentral:rRNA from 1 species
CAUUACAGAGUUCCUGCCCUCACGGGUAGAAACCCCACCCUUGUGUAUAUUAUAUUGUUGCUUUAGCAGGUCGCCCUCUGGGGCGUCGGCCUCGGCUGACUGUGCCUGCUAGAGGACCCUAAACUUUGAAAUACAGUGUCGUCUGAGUACUAUUUAAUAGUUAAAACUUUCAACAACGGAUCUCUUGGUUCUGGCAUCGAUGAAGAACGCAGCGAAAUGCGAUAAGUAAUGUGAAUUGCAGAAUUCAGUGAAUCAUCGAAUCUUUGAACGCACAUUGCGCCCCUUGGUAUUCCGGGGGGCAUGCCUGUUCGAGCGUCAUUUAGACCAACUCCCGCUCCGGCGGGGUCUUGGGCUGCGCCUUUGGGCGGGCCUCAAAACCAGUGGCGGUGCCCCGAGGCUCUACGCGUAGUAAUUCUUCUCGCGAUAGGGUCCUUGCGGUGUCUUGCCAGCAACCCCCAACUCUCUAGGGUGACCUCGGAU